UGAAAAUGUAAACAACAAAGAUCGGGCCCCGGUUCCGGACCCAGCGUACCCGCCCUACCAUGAGACGAUCACCUCCACUCGUCUCCCUCAUUUCGGCCACUAAAUGGCCUAUAUUAGCCCGUGUCGGCCAUAAUGCCCACUCUCCCCAACAAUAUUAUUUUAGCCGGACAUGAUUUCUUUCAAUAGCUGUUUAGGAUCUCAUGCAAGCGGAUAAUUCAUUAACUUCACAGGUGCGUAUAAUGGUUUGUGUAUUCUUAUAAUUAUUGGCAUUAAUAUUUCUUUUAUUUCUUUCCAAUUCGCACGAGGUCUCUAUUCAGGCGACGAAAUACUACAAGGAUAUUGCUAGUCGCCGCAAUAGAAACGCGCAAGGAGGCACUUUAGAGGCAAUCGUUGCGCCGAUUUAGGAACAAUGGCCCACACAAUUACUUAAAACUGGAGCUCUCUGGGGGUGGUAAGGGGCGAUAUAAAUGCG